UUUGUUGUUGUGGAUUUCCCGGUCCUGCACCUUGCGGGCCUGGAAGUCGAAGAGGAGGUACGACAUUGUGUCUACUUUAGAUGAUAAUUUUCCCAUUUCC